rnacentral:tRNA from 1 species
GGCCAGUUAGCUCAGUCAGUUGAGCUUGGUGCUAACAACAUCAAGGUCGUGGGUUCGAUUCCUGUUUGGUCC